GUUUGUGAAUUCAAAGGGGGUGGAACUAUAUGAAUUAAAGAUUGCCUUAGAAAGAUAGAGAAUAUGCAUAGCUUUAAGAGGUACAUCUCUUAAUUGCCUUGAACUCUAUAUUUAUUGUGAAUAUUCUGGAUUAGUAGCUCCAUCAAUACAAUGGCUGAAAUGUUUUAUUAUUCUAGUAGAGUAAUUUGGAAUGAGUUGACACUAAUUGCAUUAUGUUGUAUUAGAUAUUAAAUUUUAUUAUGAAUUUUUUUUAGCUGGAAAAUCAUUGUUUUUUAUAUAAUGAGAAAUAAACACACUUUCUUGAAACUAGAUGUUAUACUAAAAACUUGAAUGCUAUAAUUUGCUAUCUCACUCUCUCUUAUUCAUAUAUAUAUAAGAGAAUGAAUUCAUCAUCACCUUUUUUUUUUUUUUAUAUCUAUAGUUAAAUAUAUUCUACUUUAUUUCCAAUCAAAUGAGUUAGAACAUUCUUAUUCUCUAAUUUUCCUUUAAGAUAAUUGAGUUGAUAUGUUUAUAGCUUAUGAAUUUUUUUGUUUUCGAGCAAAAUAUGUUUAUUUCUAUUCAAUUUUGUCUCUGUAUUGCUUGUUAAUUUCUUUUGCAACUGCUGGAAUUUGGCAACCAAUUUCUUUUCCUUUUUCUUUUAUUUGUUUGUAGAUAUGAUUAAUAUGUUUAAAGUGUUUCUUCUUCAACUUAUAUCCCUAACCCAUCAAAUUCAUCGAAUGAAGAAGUUGUCCGUGAAUGAAGAAGCUGUCUGUGAUAAUGCAUGAUCGCAGUACUUAUGUUCAUGGAGUGAAAAAUAAUAAUCCUUCUAAAUUUAGCUUUUAGAUUUGGUAAAUUUAGCCCUUAAAUUCAGCUACGAGUAGAAGGAAUUUGAUUGGAUAAUAGCAGUUAAGAUUAUUCAAUUAUAAGAAUAAGAUGUCUUGUAAUAAGACGUCUUUGUGUAUUGAAGUAUUUGGAUUGUGUAAUAUAUAUUGAUAAUAUUUAAAUGUUAUGAAAGGUUUUGAUAUAUAAAUUGAUUUUUG
rnacentral:lncRNA from 1 species